rnacentral:rRNA from 1 species
AUACGUAGGGGGCGAGCGUUGUCCGGAAUGAUUGGGCGUAAAGGGCGCGUAGGCGGCCCGGUAAGUCUGGAGUGAAAGUCCUGUUUUUAAGAUGGGAAUUGCUUUGGAUACUGUCGGGCUUGAGUGCAGGAGAGGGAAGUGGAAUUCCCAGUGUAGCGGUGAAAUGCGUAGAGAUUGGGUGGAACACCAGUGGCGAAGGCGACUUACUGGACUGUAACUGACGCUGAGGCGCGAAAGUGUGAGGAGCAAACAGGAUGAGAUUACCUGGUAGUCCACAGUGUAAACGAUGAAUGCUAGGUGUAAGAGGUAUCGACCCCUUGUGCGCCGGAGGCAAAACAAUACGCAUUCCGCCUGGGAAGUACGGUCGCAAGGUUGAUGCUCAAAGGACUUGACGGGG